AUCCAUCUGACAGGUCCAAAACAGAACGAAACACGUGUCCUGGAU
rfam:Schistosoma margrebowiei strain Zambia genome assembly, scaffold: SMRZ_contig0000175